UGUCCUUACAGGGAAUGCUUUUGCUGUUGGUUGGAGAGUAUUUGGAUUUCUAGGCUCGUGAGCCACUGCAUAUGGUUCUUCAUGAAUUGUUGAGUCUGAACAUAGUUUCAUGGAACAGGCUCUUCUGGAGCACAUGCUGGCCUCACCAUCACUACAUAGCCAAAAUUGGCUUGAAUGUUGCUCAUCAUGCUGCCACUUUCAAAAAUUUUAUAAUUAGUAUGGGCUCAUCUUUAUGAGAUUCUACUGAUUUUCCCCUUUAAAAAAUGUGUGUAAGCUGACUUUGGAGGGCUCUGAUCAGGCAGGGCACAGCUAAGUUGAUUGUGUCUAGAUGUGUUGUAUGCAUGUCUGUGUUAGGCCAACUGAUUUUUCAAACUUCAACCUCAAUACAGCAAUAGUAAGAUUUUGGAACUCACAAGUAGUAGAGACUUGCUACAGUGCAGAACAUGUGGCCUUUAGCAAAGGGAUCUAUAGAAUGAUUUCAUGCUAUUUUUUGACUAUCUUAGAAUACCUCUACAGUGCCAAUUAAAAACAACUCUGUUAUGCAAUCUGCUACCUUGCUCUUGCCAUGCCAACAUUAAGAUGCACAAGCAAUCAAUUUCUGUUGUUUGUAAGGAGACAACUAAAGCAUAUUUUGAGAGUAGAAGGGCCUAUGUUGCCAGGAUACUGCUUCAUCUUUCACAUCUCUUGUUUAUAGUGUCCUGGCUGACAGGUAUUUCCUUGGUCAUGUUAAACAUGUCAGCCCCCUGUCCAUGGAUCAUGGGCUUUGGUGAGAAGACUCAGGCCUAAUAAGGACAUGGGAUGAAUGGUGUCCUCUUCUUUGCAGCCCCACAGAUUAUGGUUUCACACCCUGGGGCACUACAAAAAAACAAUAUUUUGUCAUAACUCCCAACUUAGUAAGGAGCUAACGUCCUUUACCAUCCAUUAAUCUUAUUUUAAAAAUAACAAACUGAAUACUUUGAGUAUAGACAUGAGUUACUAAAAACUUAUAAAAGCUGGAUUCCAAGUGAAAAACAAAACACUCUCCAUCUACUAGCUAGUGUGUACCAGAGCACAUACAUGAGGACAGACAAAGCUCUGGAGUUCAUUGACAUUCUUAGGAUUUCCGGUUUGAUGUUUAACAUGGAAAGGGUCUGUAUUAAAGUUUCAGUGUCAAAGUUCCCACAGAGUGUCCAGUGUUUGAAUGUUGUUCCCACCCAGUGUCACUUUUUGAGGAAAGUUAAGGGCCUUGGGCUGUGGGCCUAGCAGAAAAAAACAAUGGAUCAAUGGACAAUAUUGGAAACAAACAUUUGAGUGUAAGCAGCCCUCUACUGCCCCACUGAGGAAGAAUCUUGGAAACAGAAAGCCAGAAGAACCAAUGGGCUCUGCCCAGCCACCAUUGGUCCAUUUUUGCUCCGACUUCACAAAGAAGCAUCGUAGGACGUCAUAGAUACCUGUUCACUUACAGAUCUGCCUGAGACUGUCUCCUGUACCUACAGUACUGAAGUUGGCAUUUGGUUGAAAAGCUACUAGAGUCCGAUGCUGAAAGAUUCUACUGGAACUUCCAGGAGCUGUUAAACAUUGACAUAGUGCAUUUAUCUCCACUUUGGCCAGAAGUAUACGAUCUUCUAGAACUGGAUUUAGGGUACUUGUGGACUACCUGACCUGUAUCCCAAGAACCAAAUGCAGGUCCUCUGCAGAAAUCAUAGACAUUGUGGACUCCAAAGCCAGCUCCCCAGCCUGAACCUAGAAAGUCAGCAAUGUGAAAUCACUUGACCAUCCUAACUUUAUCAAGCUGUUUCACAUGGUCAGACAAGAGAAAACACCUACCAGUUGAAGGAUAAUGCCUCGGAUGGAGAGAUACUAGAACAAGUCAUUGAAGGUCAUCACUGAACUAUUGAUGGUCAAUCCCAGAAGAAAUCCCACCAUCCACAAAAUCAUGAUGUGCCUCAUGAUUAGUGAAAGUGAGGCAUGUUUAUUACCUCCUUCCUGUGUAUUUCUGCUUUGAAGUUUUGAAGAGGACCAGAAGCCAGAGAGUAGGAAUGUGCAGGCUCUUUUAACAAUUUUAUGGUGACCUGGUCUACAUUGAACAGUUGUUGUACACGCAAGGCUCUGUGUAAGACUUAAGAUGGUGUUGGGAUAUUAUAAAGACAGAAUCAGGCAUGAGGAGUUCAUGGUGAUGAGAGUGAGUGACAAGCUGCUCGGGUCUCCUGUCUGAGAGUGGAGCUGCUUCCUCACAGAUCCGCGUACAGAGGUGAGGCCAGUCUCAGUCUGUCCCUUCUUCAUCUUCCCCAAAUAGAGAGAGAGAUUGGUCAAUUAACUUAUCAAAAGUGUGUUUUCAGUUUAUAUUCUUGUAGAAUAUAGGUUAUAUAAAAAUUUAGAAAUAAUACAUACAUACAUACAUACAUACAUGCAUAUAUACACACAUACAUACAUACACACAUAUAUACAUGCAUACAUUCAUACAUACACACAUACAGACAUGAAUGGCAGGAAAAGCCACACUUAAAAAGGUGUUAGGAACUAACCUGGGGUGGCUCAUUACCACCCCAUAGGUGCUGAAAGCACACAGUAAGGUCUUUGGUUUAGAUGACAAUGUUUUAAAAUAACACAAGUCACAAUAGGACCAGAAACAAGGAACAGAACAAAGAUUUGAAAAAAACAGAGCUCUUUUUCUCCUCUCCUCUCUCAGUGUCCCUUCCUCUCUCCUACUCACCCUUUCCCCAUGGCAACUUCCCUGGCUUUGGUCCUUGGGGCCAGUGAACUUGCCCACCAGAAAGCAUCUUCCCGAUAAACCCGUCUUUAAUAUAAAAAAGGAAAUAUUUGAAGACGCAAUUGCUGAUAAAAUUUAAAAAUUGAUUGAUACCAGCAACAUAACUCAAAAAUUCAUAAAAUAUUAAAAAGAAAAAUAGAUCUGGAAAUUAAAAAUAUAAAGCCUUAUAAGUCAGUAAUCCAACCAGCUAUAUCUGUAACCGAAACAACAAGCCUGUCAAAAACCUAUACACAUCAUUGUGUCACACUUGAAUUUCUGAGAAGAAAUGAUUUUGAAGGCAACCAGAGAAAUAGUAGCAACAUUAAUGCAGAAAGUGAAGAUAAAAAUUAUAGUCAUUUUCAUACCAGAACUUGUAGUAGCUUGAAGGUAUCUUUAACAUGGCCUACGGGAAGAAACUAUGAAUCCAUAAUUGUACACACAAAGUAAAGUAAAGAGAAUGAAGACUUGUGCAGGCAGACAAAUGCUGAGUGCACAUCAUCUGUGUAAUCAAUUCAAUCAGUGGAUCAAUUUCAUGAUAAAAUGUUUUCCAGGCAGGAAAGACUAUGACACCAGAGAGAAACCAGGAUCCAUACUGUGCAGAAAACAUAUUAAGAAUCACAUAAAUGAAAGUUUAAAUAACUUCUAUUUUAACAUUCUCUAAAAGAAAAUUAGCAGUGGUAAAAAUAGUAUCAACAGUCUAUUUGUUUAUAGAACACUCAGAGGUAAAAUAUGUGCAAACGCUAAUAACAGCACCACAAAGUUAGGAAGGAACAUUGAGAAUUUAUUGUGCUAAGGUCUUCAUAGUGCAUAUAAUUUGAAUGUAGACUCUGAUUCAUUAAAGCGUACACUGUAAACACUGGGACAACUAGAAGUAUUAAACAUAAUCGUGAUGCUCUUUUAUAUGAACACAACAUGCCCUCCAGGAUAAGGAAGACCUGGGGUUUUAGAACCAUGAGGUCCUUUACUGCAGGGACAGCACUGGAGCCUCUAGCGAAGUCAGAGUAGAGCUGACCCGGGAGGUAGUUCUGGCCUUGUUGGAGGACAUGUCACUGUAGAGCUGAGCUGUGAUGUCUUAUGCUUAAGCUCUGCCCAGUGCAGGAGACAGUCCCUUCCUAGAUGCGUUCAGAUCAAGAACUCUCAGCUCCUUCUCCAGCACCGUCUCUGCCUGCAGCUGCCACGCUUCCUGCUAAUAUGAUGAUGGACUGAACAUUAUCUGAAGCUGAAGGCAGCCCCAGUUAAAUGGUCACCUUUGUAAGAUUGCCUAGGUCAUGGAUCACUUCACAGCAAUGAAACCCUAAGUCACUGGUUCUUGGUAGCUUGAAGUCUAAUGUAGAGAAAUUCAUUAAAUGUUAACAAAAUGCUUUUCAAAGAGAAUAACUAGGAAUGAGCAAUAAUCCAACUGCAAUGAUGAAGUGAAUAAUAAAAAUGUCCAAUUUAUAACUAGAAAUGCCACAGAUUUUAAUAUCCAACACAUAAAAAUACAUUAAUCAGGAAUUGUUUAAACACACCAAUUAAAAGACAGCAAGUAUUGAACUGGUUGAAAAGCAAAUUAAACCUUGUACUGUUUACAAGAAUGUUUAUGGUGCAAACCUUAACCAAUAGAAUUCUGAAGUCUCUAUACUAAUGUGGGACCAAGUAGAACUCAGAAGAUAAAAUUAUGAAGAAUGAUGUUGCUUGGGAGGAAAAGGCUAAUUACUAGGAAUAUAUAGCAAUCCAAACAGUAAAUACAUGGAAUGUGAGAGUUUCUAAGGAGGUGGAAUAAAGCCUCAAAAAGAGUCCAGGUGGUGGUGGCUCACGCCUUUAAUCUCAGCACUUGGGAGGCAGAGGCAGGAGGAUCUCUGUGAAUUGCAGCCUGGUCUACAGAGAGAGUUCCAGGACAGCCAGGACUACACAGAGAAACCUUGUCUCAACAAACAACAAACAAACAAAAAAAGCAGAAGAAAAUGUGCAAACCCACAAAUGUAAAUUCAGGACUCCCAUUUUUGAGCUGUGCUUGGUGGUUUUCAUGGCUGUAAUCCCAGCAUUCAGAAGACAGAGGCAAGAUGAUUGGAUGUUUGACCCGGGCUACCCUCAUUCCCAACUGUACAGCCCCAGGCUUAUGUGCAGCUGAGCCAUCGGGUUCCAGCUAAGACUAGAAAAUGGACACUUUUGGGUUUAAACCUCGAUUGCCAGAUGCCGUCAGGUGUCUGCUGAGACAUUAAUCCAGUUGGGUUUGCCAUAGACCUUGGGUGGACAGCUAUGCCCAGGCUGGCAGGGCAUGAUUUAAACGACACAGGGCCGUUUGCCAUCUUGACUAUGGGAUAAAGAAGGGGGAGUCAUAGCUUCACUGACUUAAGGGCAGCCACAUGGCUGGCAGCCAUCUCUGUAAUGGGUCAGAAAAAACAAAAGCAGAAACAAUGGACCUCGCUUGGUGGCCCUGACAGCCAAAUCUUGUCACAUAAUAGUAACCCACUUGGUAUUAAUUGUGAAGGCAUCACAUUGUUUUCAGUUAUUAGAACUUAGUUUUUGUCUUCCAAAAAUUAUGGUUAUGCUCUGUCUUUACUCUUUAAAAGGUAUUCAUUUUAUUUUAACACACAGGGACAGUUUAGAGCAGGAUUAGGGUUAGG